rnacentral:rRNA from 1 species
GAUGAACGCUGGCGGCGUGCCUAAUACAUGCAAGUCGAGCGAACGGACGAGAAGCUUGCUUCUCUGAUGUUAGCGGCGGACGGGUGAGUAACACGUGGAUAACCUACCUAUAAGACUGGGAUAACUUCGGGAAACCGGAGCUAAUACCGGAUAAUAUUUUGAACCGCAUGGUUCAAAAGUAAAAGACGGUCUUUCUGUCACUUAUAGAUGGAUCUGCGCUGCAUUAGCUAGUUGGUAAGGUAACGGCUUACCAAGGCAACGAUGCAUAGCCGACCUGAGAGGGUGAUCGGCGACACUAGAGCGUGGACACGGUCAUGGCUCCUGCGGGAGGCAGCAGUAGGGAAUCUUCCGCAGUGGGCGAGAACAUGACAGAGCAACGCCGCGUGUGUGAUAGAGACCUUCGGAUCGUAAAACUCUGUUAUUAGUGAAGAACAUAUGUGUAAGUAACUGUACACAUCGUGACGGUACCUAAUCAGAAAGCCACGGCUAACUACGUG